UACACAUCCGAUUGUAAACAAAACAAGAUUCCGUCCGUAAAACUUUCGAAGAGAUUAGUUCAACUUUAUCAUUCAAACACUUCGUAUCGUAUCAACUGUAUCCACAGCAGAUUCACGAUGUCCCUUGAUUAACCCUGAAACAAGAUUUGAAUUGCUGGUAUUGAUGUUAGUGACUUUGAAAGAAGAAUUGUUGAGCUUUUGACUUUGGAAAAGAUUGUGCAGAGAAAAUUGCGUUUCCGUCCUUUUAUUUCGCCCAUCGGCCGUCUUAAGUGGUUGAGUCUCCAUAAGUGAUCAUAAGUAGCAACUUCUACUGUCUAUUGUGAAAUUUCAAGAGCACGAUAAGUUCUCAUUUUUCCAGCAGUUGAACUGAAUGCAUUAGGACUGAUCGACAGUAUUGAAGAUGUCCUGCAAAACUUUGAUGAAUCCAAGUGUACUAAACACUGUUGGUUUACCCGUUUUUGCUCUUUUGUCCGAGAUGGUAAUAAAUGUGAAUUUUCCGUCGUUAUCUAACGAUUCAUACAGAUGCCGAUAAAUAUCAAUACCAUGCUUUAUGAAAACUUUUAGUUUGGUUCAAACUUGCAUCAAACCUUAUUGACAGUUGCAGUUAGUUUAAAACAAAACUUUAUACAACAAAAAGAGAUGACUUCAAUUUUUCCAUUGUGAAAUUUCCAUUUAUAAGUACCAACAACCUGGAUUUCUCAAAGUUAAUAUGAUAUUACAGAGUUUCAUAUAACAGUUUCCUUGAUUGCUGGUCGCUGAUUACAAGAAGCUACUGAACCAAUGCUAUUUAAUGUGGAUCAUUGGUAUAUAUUUCCUCAAAUAACAUUUUCUUAUACUCUGCCAUAAUUAAGAUUUUUCCAUGCUUUUUUUAAAAACGUUAUAAAAAGCGUGGGUCACUCGCCGCCGUGCUAUUUUUCAAGCUACAAAUCGUGCAAAAUUGCCCAAAUUUGCAUAGAUUGUUCAUGAAAAAACAGUUUUUUGUGUAUAAAAAGAAAUCUAUGAGAUAAAAUUUUAGAAUAUAAAAUAUGAGAAAAUAGGUUUUAAAAUAUGCUUUUAAGAAUAAAAAAAAAAUUGGUGUCAC